rnacentral:lncRNA from 1 species
UUUUUUUAUUUUUUAUUUUUUUGGAAAGAGAGUAUUAAUCAGAUUUUGCUCUGAGCAUGGAGCCCAACGCAGGGCUUGAUCUCAUAACCCUGAGAUCACAACCCUGAAAGCACAACCUGAGCUGAAACCAAGAGUCCAACACUUAACUGAUUGUGCCCUGCAGGCACCUCCAGAGUUCUCUCGAAAUAAGGCAAAAUGUUAAGUUUAUUUCAUCUCUCAUUUAAAAAUUUAUUUAUCCCAGCAGAUAAUUUUUGUACACAGCAAAUGUAAUGUUCUGUUUAGCACACUCUCAGAAACUACUCUAUGAUUUCCCUAAAUCAGCUCCACAUCCUGAAAUCCCAGCUAUAGCUAGCCAGCCCACCAUUCUCCCAUUCCCUAAUGGUAACUUUGGAGGAAUCUCUGACCUACACUCAAGAAAUACUAGUUAAGCGACGUGGAAGUGAGCCAACGCUGCAGGUGGCAGGACACAAGGACAGUCCAAAAUCAAGCCCUGGAGGAGGGUAGGUCUUCAUAAGGGAGAUGGUAUCCUCCCAACCCCCAUAGGGCAAGCCAUGUCUUUCGGGUCUUUUUCCUUGUAAUUUUGGGAAGUUCAGCUGUGUGUGUAAGGAGACCAAAAGAACAGUGGCUUAAUUAAACAAGAUAACUUCUAUUUUCCUCUGAUAUGUACAAUACAUCGUCAUGCACUCUGCUUCUCAAAGUGCAGCCCCAAGGAAGGAGGGAGCAUCAGCAUCACCUGGAACUUGUUAGAGAUGCAAAUUUUUGACUCUCCCCUUACUUGCUCAAUCAGAGGCUUGCCAGGCCUUCUGGGUGAUUCUGAUACUAAAUUUUAAGAACCUCUGGCCUAGAGGUACCUGAUCCAAGCCUGGAAUGAGGACUCUGUUUCAAGGGGUCUUCCAGGAUCCCAGGAUCCUUCUCUCUUGAUGCUUCACUCACUAUACCCCAAGAUGAUUCCUUUGCACACAUGAACCCAAAUGACUUGCUACCUACCAUGUAUGUUCAGUCACAAUGCCUAUGCUGUCUUCCUCAGGAAACAUUUUCCAAACUAGGCACCUCUUCUGAGUUCUUCUGUUAUGGGUCUGGUUCAGGCAGCUCCACCUGAACUGCUGCAAUGGCCUCCUAGUUGCCUCUGAGCUACUCACUGAUUCCCUUCAGCUGGAGUCUACCCCCACCCAACUGGCAAAAUUAUCCUUUUUUUUUUUUUUAAUGUGACAUUUGUCUCUAACUAGACUGUCAUCUGUUUCCCAUGGCAAAGCUUCAACUCUACAAUGAAGGUGGCACUUAUCUUUCUUCUGAGUUCUCCCUCAACCCUUCACCUGGACACCUUCUCAAUCUUAGUGACCUUAAACACAGUUUCCAGAUCUGACCACAUUCCUUUGCCCUGCAUGCCUUUCCACAUGCUCUUCCCCUUGUUUACAAUCCCUGUGUUAGGACUUCUCUACACACACACACACACACACACACACCCUCAGACACACUUUUUCCAAUCAUAUUUUCCACCUUAUAAACACCUGUUCCUUCCUUGAAAUCUAACUUACACACCAUGCCUGUGGUGUCUUUUUCAACUUCCCCAGGCGUGGUUCCUUGCUUCCUAUGCUCUCAUUGUAGGGAUUCCUACCUAUUCUAGAAUACUCAUCAAAUUGUAUUAUGAUAUUCUGUGUACAAAUCUACCUCCCACAUUAGAUGGAAAACUUUUUGGAAAUAGGCACUGCACUUAUUCAAUAAACAUUACAUGCCCAAUUUGUGUCAGUAAAUUCAUAUCUUAAACUGUAGAGCUUAGCACAGUGUCAGUGGAGGAGGGUAGGUCUAUCCAAUGGAUACCCAAUAAUGGUAGAUUCAAAGCAUAAAUGAAUGAAUGUCUUUUACAAAUUCUCUCAAGGAUGUAAUGGUUGUAACAACUAUUUACAAUAUACCUGUGGGUCCCUGAGAGACACAUGUAAGUGUCUUAGUUGUUAGUAAUGUGUUGAAGUUUGGUAAUUCCAAAAAUGGGAAAGUAUUUUCAACAUACUGGACUUUAAAGAGCAAAAGAAGGAGAAGGAGAGGAAUGAAGCAAAAUCCCCAGGGAUCAGGGCGAAAGAAGUGAAAUUUCUGCACUCAAAGCAAGGAAUGUGCUUUUAUCAUGGAAGAUGGGGCAAAAUGAGUCCUGUAAUGAUUUCAGCUCUACAGAGAAACGAAUAUUAUCCUUCCAAGUUUGUAAGAUUUAAUGGCACCUGUCCCACUUACUGAGCAGGAGACAGUGAAUUGUGUUGUCUAUGCACUGAUGAAUUUAAAUCUCCUCAGGCAUAGUUGACUGUGAUGCCAUUUCACCCUGAUAUUGUUUCUUUCAAUUUUUGAAAGGAAAAUAUCCUAAUGUUUGAAGCUUUUCUUCUGAUUAUUUAAAAAAUGAAAGACUUUCCAGGCAAUUGUCCAAAUUCAAGAGCUUAAAUUAAAAUGCUCAUUUUCAGAAUUUGUCAUGUAACUCCCUGUUUGGAUUGAGGAUAUAGAUCCUCUCUUGACUAAUCAUGGGGGAAAGAGGAAUGAAUGCUUCUGAAAUUCUGGACCAAGUUAGAAUCAAGGACACUUAGCAGAGACAAGUGGUACUGCUGUGGCUCUCAGGAAGAGGCAUAAGGGUAAGCCAAUCUUUUCAUGAUCUGUCCUGUGCCAAGCCCUAGCUUAUUGUUUAUUCCAUCAGUGAAUGCAUUCUGGAAGGUUAUGUUCAUUAUAAUACUUUGUCACUAAUCUGAUAAGAAAAAAGAAUUAAUAUGAUUGCCAACAUUGUUACUUUUCAUAAUGAACCAAGCAAUAUAUAUGCAAUUUCAAUGCAUAAUCAUUGGAUGUAUAAAGUAUUAUGGACUAUAUUUACAAUUUGUUCAUCAAUUACGAAGCUACUAUACAAUGAAAAUAAAAAAUGCUACAAUCUUUUCAGGAUUCUCAUGAAGGGCCCUUCUAGAUGCAAAUUUUUAUUUAUGUAAUUUUCAUAGGAUGCAAUUUGACGUAGUCUCCAUCUCCUAAGCAGAGGAUUUGUUGUAAAUACUCUAUUUAGUUUGGAAGUACCAUACAGUUAAAUGACUAAUCACAGAAACUCAGUCCAUGAUCAUUGACAAAAAUGGCCACACUUAUAGUGGAAAUUAACACAGAGGUAAAUGGAUCUGUUUCCUACCCACACCUAGGAAAUCACUCAUAGCAAAAUGGCCCAACAAUGACUACAAGUUUGUGAAGAGGUACAAUUAAUCUGUGCAGUCUAAGUCAGAAAAAAAAUGCAUAUCUUAGGUCCUAUUUUUCUCACUCCAAGUAUGCUGGAUGCAAAGAAGGGGAAUUGGUCCACAACAAAAGGGCAAGAUAUUCUCUCAAUAUGUUUGGGUGAGAUGUGGGAACUCUUUUUCACAUUUUUCUUACCCACUAACCCUUCUCUUAUGGCCUACCAAAUACAAAGAUUGAUUUUUAAAGAAAUGUAUUUAAGAAACAGUGAUAGUAUUUUCCCAGCCCCCCUUACCUUGAUUUCAGAAAUAACAUCUAUUUCACAUUAGGGACUUACAUUAUGGCUAGAAGACUCAGAAAAUAUCACCAAGAAUGCUAGAGAGUGAGUAACAAUUGCUCCCCCUGGAUUUUACUCUUACCCCUGUGAAGUUUAUUAUUUAAUACUGACAAGUGUUGGGGUCUUUCGGCAUAUGUUUACUAUAGUUAGUUCUCUUAUAGUACUAUAGUUAGUGGCUCUUUCAAAAAAGUUACUCUCCCCAAGUUCCCUCUCUCCUACCACAUUUCUUAACAGUGUCAAUAGAUAAUCUUGCUCCUUCAGACCCAGAGACACUAGAAGUCAAUACAUGGGAACUCUCACAACAUCCUUAAACUUCUCUGUACACUUCCACAUCCCAUUCUCCAUCUACACAUUUAUGUGUCUUUACCCUCUCUCCCCUCCUUCUGUCCUUAUACAAUGAAAGAGGUAUUUCUCCUAUAGUCUAAAGCUUUCAAAUUUUAGUGCAUCUUUCCCAUCAAUAACUCAAAUCAAAAACCAAAUGAAAACUUUCUAUCAACCUUUCUACUCCUUAGAAAUCAAACUUCUUCCAAUCCUUAUCCUAUGUUAGCGAGACCAUAAAAAGACCCUCCAACAAACCGUUUCUCCUGGUAUUCAUGUCCUUGUUUAGUUCCCUCUCUUUGAGCUGAGCGGGACUUGCAACUUACUUUUUGGCCGAAAGAAUGCAAGAACGUGACAUCAUAUAGUUUUUUAUAAGAUUUUAUUUAUUUAUUCGUGAGAGACACAGAAAGAGGCAGAAACAUAGGCAGAGGGAGAAGACAGCUCUCUGCAGGGAGCCCGUGCAGGACUCCAUCCCAGGACCCUGGGAUCACGACCUGAGCUGAAGGCAGAUGCUCAACUACUGAGCCACCCAGGUGCCCCCCAUCAUAUAACUUUUGAGGUUAGGUCAAAAGAACUUUUGCACUCUCCACCUGGAUCUCCUAUAACACUUGCUCUUGAAGAAGCUAGGUGCCAUAUAAGUAGUCCAACCAACCUAGAGAUUACUGCACUAUUAGAAAACCCAAACUGGCUAUGUGGAGAGGUGGAGUGGAGAUAAAAACAAACAAUGCCCAUCCCGCCCCGCCUUAGUUCCUAUCAUCCUCGAUGAGGCACCUGCCACGUGAGUGAAGCAGUUCUCUUAGAUAUGUAGCCCAAUAGAACCUUCAGAUAAUCGCAGUCCCAGUCAUGAUCUGACUGCAACUGUAGGAGAGAUCCUGUAUUUGUUUCCUAGGAAUGCUGUAACAAAGUACCACAGACUGGGUAGCUUAAAAACAGCAGAAAUCUAUUCUCUCACAGUUCUGAAGGCUAGAAGUCUAAAACUAGGUGUCAGCAAGUCCAUGCUCCCUCUGAGACACUGGAAAGAAUCCUUCCUUUCCUGUUUUUUUUUUUUUUUUUUUUGAUGGUGGCCAUCAAUCCUUGGCAUUUCUUGGACUACAGCUGCAUGGAUCCAAUUUCUGCCUCUGUCAUCACAGGCAUUGUCCCUGUGUGUUUCUUUCCUCUUCCUAUAAGAGGGUCAGUCAUAUUGGAUUAAGAGUGCACCCUACUCCAA